GGCCUCGUAGCUCAGCUGGUAGAGCAUGCGCUGUACAAAGGUGUAGGCGGCGUCCAUGUCUGAGUUCGAAUCCUAUCGAGGCUA
rfam:Echinostoma caproni strain Egypt genome assembly, scaffold: ECPE_scaffold0019978